rnacentral:lncRNA from 1 species
GGUUUUCUUUGUUUCUAUUUCCUUUAUUUCUGAUCUGAUCUUUAUGAUUUCUUUCCUUCUACUAACUCUAGGUCUUGUCUGUUCUUCUCUCUUGAGCUGCUUUAGAUGUAAAGUUAGCUUAUUUAUUUGGGCUUUUUCUUGUUUCCUGAGGUGGGCUUGUUUUGCUAUAAACUUUCCUCUUAGAACAGCUUUUGCUGCAUCCCAUAGGUUUUGGAGUGUCAUAUCUUCAUUGUCAUUUGCUGCUAGGUAUUUUUUAAUUUCCUCUUUGAUUCCUUCACUGAUCCAUUGGUUGUUUAGUAGCAUGUUGUUUAGUCUACACAUGUUUUUGUUUUUUGCAGUUUUUUUCUUGUUGAUUUCCAGUCGUAUAGCAUUGUGGUCAGAAAAGAUGCUUGAUAUGAUUUCAAUUUUCUGAAAGUUACCAAGGUUGGAUUUGUAGCCCAGGAUGUGAUCCAUCUUAGAAGAAUGUGUAUUCUGUUCCUUUUGGAUGUAAUGUCCUAUAAAUAUGUAUUAUGUCCAUCUGGUUUAAUGCAUCAUUCAGGGCCUGUGUUUCCUUACUGAUUUUCUGUCUGGUUGAUCUGUCCAUUGCUGCGAGUGGGGUGUUAAAGUCCCCACUAUUAUUGUGUUAUUGUUGUUUUUGUCCUUUUAAGGUUGUUAGCAUUGCCUUAUAUAUUGAGGUGAUCCUAUGUUGGGUAUAUAUCAUAUACAUUUACAAUUGUUAUAUCUUUUUCUGGGCUUGAUCCUUUGAUCAUUAUGUAAUGUCCUUCUUUGUCUAAUAGCCUUUAUUUUAAGGUCUAUUUUGUCUGAUACGAGUAUUGCUACUCCAGCUUUCUUUUGAUUCCCAUUUGCAUGGAAUAUUUUCUUCCAUCCUCUCACUUUCAAUUUGUAUGUGUCCCUAGAAGUGAAGUGGGUCUCUUGAAGACAGCAUAUAUGUGGGUCUUGUUUUUGUAUCCAUUCAGCCAGUCUGUGUCUUUUGGUUGGGGCAUUUAGUCCAAUUACAUUUAAGGUAAUUAUUGAUAUAUAUGUUCUUGUUGCCAUGGUAUUAACUGUUUUGGAUUUGUUUUUGUUGCUCUUUUUUCUUCCCUUCUUCUCUUGUUCUCUCCUCUUGUGGUUUGAUGACUGUCUUUAGUGUUGUAUUGGAGUUGAUUUUUCUUA